UACGAAGGGGGCUAGCGUUGCUCGGAAUCACUGGGCGUAAAGCGCACGUAGGCGGCUCUUUAAGUCAGGGGUGAAAUCCCAAGGCUCAACCUUGGAACUGCCUUUGAUACUGGGGAUCUCGAGUCCGGUAGGGGAGCGUGGAAUUCCCGGUGUAGUGGUGAAAUGCGUAGAGAUCGGGAGGAACACCCGUGGCGAAGGCGGCUCACUGGGCCGGUCCUGACGCUGAGACGCGAAGGCGUGGGGAGCGAACGGG
rnacentral:rRNA from 1 species